rnacentral:rRNA from 1 species
UACAGAGGUCUCAAGCGUUGUUCGGAUUCAUUGGGCGUAAAGGGUGCGUAGGCGGCGCGGUAAGUCGGGGGUGAAAUCUGGCCGCUUAACGGCCAGGCGCCAUCCCAUACGGCGCGACUGGAGUGAUGCAGAGGUCGAUGGAAUUGCCGGUGUAGUGGUGAAAUGCGUAGAGAUCGGCAGGAACACCCAGGGGGAAACCAGUCGACUGGGCAUCUACUGACGCUGAGGUGCGAGAGCGUGGGGAGCAAACAGG